UCCUCUGGUCUGAGAGAAAAUCACACCAGACUCAACCUAAAAAUCGGGCAAUUUAAUGCUCCCCUACAAAAUGGCAAAAGUGCACACUUCGAACAAAAUUACCAAUGACCUAUUCUGAGUCAUUCGGGUCUUGUCUUGAGUUCGGCAUGCAUCCGACAGAGAAACAACAGCUAUUUCGAUACAAAUUCAACUUUUGGAGCUGAUUCAACUCAUGCUCCCCCUUCAAAAUAUACCGUGUUCGGCGCCAGAGAGGAGUAUGAGCCAAUUCUUUAAGUUGAAACAAUAUUUUAACAACAACCGCGUCGUGGAUCACAUGGAACUUUUAAGCCUAAUUCAAUUCAGUUUAGCGGCACGUUCUUUCUUCCAUACAUGAGAAGAGCGUGUCGUGACAAGCUGGUGAAGUAUCCCCAGUACCCGGGGCAGACAGCGGGAUGAAGAGCGUGCCCAGGCCGCCCUCACUCGACUGUCAAGCGGGUUUGCUUCAGAAACAAAGUCCCUGGCGCCUCCAAAGCACCGAGCAGGCCCGCUUCACAAAACUGACUCAUGAAGAUUUACACAAAACCGACAUCACAGAAUAAAACAGCAGAUAUAUUUCGCACAUGGUCGCAUUUUUUGCUCAUUAGGGAGGAAAAACACACCGCUGCCUUACCUUCCACGACCUCCUCUACGUUGUCAUCAUCGCUGUCCAUGUUCGAUGAGGCUGCGGGAGUGAAGCUUUCCCCUUAAACCAUGGGCGUCAUUCGGACAUGGCAAGGAUCAUAUGGAAGAAUGGAGCUCCAUCCCUCCAGUAGAACCUCUUCACACAGCACACACA